rnacentral:rRNA from 1 species
GAGUUUGAUCCUGGCUCAGAACGAACGCUGGCGGCGUGCUUAACACAUGCAAGUCGAACGCGAACGGGUUCUUCGGAACCUUAGUAGAGUGGCGCACGGGUGAGUAACGCGUAAGUAAUCUACCCUGACAUCUGGAAUAACUCACCGAAAGGUGUGCUAAUACCGGAUACGCUGAGUAAUCAGGAAAGGUGGCCUCUUCAUGAAAGCUACCGUGUCGGGAGGAGCUUGCGUACCAUUAGCUUGUUGGUGGGGUAAUGGCCUACCAAGGCGACGAUGGUUAGCGGGUCUGAGAGGAUGAUCCGCCACACUGGAACUGAAACACGGACCAGACUCCUACGGGAGGCAGCAGUGAGGAAUAUUGCGCAAUGGGGGCAACCCUGACGCAGCGACGCCGCGUGGAUGAUGAAGGCCUUCGGGUCGUAAAAUCCUGUCAGAUGGAAAGAAAUGCCCUAUGCCUAAUAUGUGUAGGGUUUGACGGUACCAUCAAAGGAAGCACCGGCUAACUCCGUGCCAGCAGCCGCGGUAAUACGGAGGGUGCAAGCGUUGUUCGGAAUUACUGGGCGUAAAGGGCGCGUAGGCGGUUUGCUAAGUCAGAUGUGAAAGUCCACGGCUCAACCGUGGAAGUGCAUUUGAAACUGGCAGACUUGAGUACUGGAGGGGAUGGUGGAAUUCCCGGUGUAGAGGUGAAAUUCGUAGAUAUCGGGAGGAAUACCGGUGGCGAAGGCGACCAUCUGGCCAGAUACUGACGCUGAGGUGCGAAAGCGUGGGGAGCAAACAGGAUUAGAUACCCUGGUAGUCCACGCCGUAAACGAUGUCAACUAGGUGUUGGGACGGUUAAUCGUCUCAUUGCCGCAGCUAACGCAUUAAGUUGACCGCCUGGGGAGUACGGUCGCAAGAUUAAAACUCAAAGGAAUUGACGGGGACCCGCACAAGCGGUGGAGUAUGUGGUUUAAUUCGACGCAACGCGAAGAACCUUACCCACCUUUGACAUGUCAAGAAUUUUGCAGAGAUGUGAAAGUGCUCGAAAGAGAACUUGAACACAGGUGCUGCAUGGCCGUCGUCAGCUCGUGUCGUGAGAUGUUGGGUUAAGUCCCGCAACGAGCGCAACCCUUGUCAUUAGUUGCUACAGUUGGGCACUUUAAUGAGACUGCCGGUGAUAAACCGGAGGAAGGUGGGGAUGACGUCAAGUCCUCAUGGCCCUUAUGGGUAGGGCUUCACACGUAAUACAAUGGUCGGUACAGAGGGUUGCCAACCCGCGAGGGGGAGCCAAUCCCAGAAAGCCGAUCGUAGUCCGGAUUGUUCUCUGCAACUCGAGAGCAUGAAGUCGGAAUCGCUAGUAAUCGCGGAUCAGCAUGUCGCGGUGAAUACGUUCCCGGGUCUUGUACACACCGCCCGUCACACCAUGGGAGUGGAAUCUGGCAGAAGUAGGUAGCCUAACCGCAAGGGGGGCGCUUACCACGCUGGGUUUCAUGACUGGGGUGAAGUCGUAACAAGGUAACCU